AUGUCAUGCAAGCAACGGCACACAAGAACAGUCAUUUUAUGCAGCAAAGCAGGGAACAGCAAUGAGACACUAUGAUAAUGAGCAGCCGGGGCAAAAUAAUCAGAAGCGAACCUCCUGCAAGCGACUUAUCCUCGGCUUUGGUCUGCUGUGUAUCAGUCAAGCUAUUCUCAACAUAUCUCUGCGCAUGACCCUAAAUUGCAGUAAGAACCCUUUUCACUGCAACGCAACUGAUGUCACAGUCCACACGCUGGAUGAAGCAAUAGAAAUCGGCGUCAUGAACAAGUAUCAGAAGUUACAAGAAAAAAUCAAGGCCUUGAUCAGAGAUAAUGAGAUCCUUGAGAGGAGAAACAAGGAACUGAUGGGGAAAUGUGGGUGGGAAAGGCCGGAAAAGAAUCACAGUAAGAACUUUUUCUUUUCUUCUAUUCAUUGGUUAAACUGGGGGGUCUGCAACCUUCAAAACUCAAAGAUCCAUUCAGGUCGAUUUCUAACCG
ensembl:lncRNA